rnacentral:rRNA from 1 species
UCUUAUAACAAAUCAAUUAAACUGAUCUCCUAGUACAAAAGCUAGAAUACCGACAUAAGACCAGAAGACCCUGUGAAGCUUUAACUAACCUAUUAAACCCAAUAAUAGCUACUUUCGGUUGGGGCGACCUCGGAAUAAAAAAGAACUUCCAACAUAUGACUAAUCAUAAAACAAGGCCAACAAGCCACAUCAGACCCAGUAUGACUGACAAAUGAAAUAAGUUACUCCAGGGAUAACAGCGCCAUCUUCUUUAAGAGCCCAUAUCAAAAAGAAGGUUUACGACCUCGAUGUUGGAUCAGGACAUCCCAGUAAUGCAGCCGUUACUAAAGGUUCGUUUGUUCAACGAUUAACAGUCCCACGUGAUCU